rnacentral:rRNA from 1 species
GUGUCAGCAGCCGCGGUAAAACCACGCACCUCAAGUGGUCAGGAGGAUUAUUGGGCCUAAAGCAUCCGUAGCCUGCUCUGUAAGUUUCCGGUUAAAUCCAUUAGCUCAACUAAUGGCCUGCCGGAAAUACUGCAGAGCUAGGAAGUGGGAGAGGUAGACGGUACUCGGUAGGAAGGGGUAAAAUCCUUUGAUCUAUUGAUGACCACCUGUGGCGAAGGCGGUCUACCAGAACACGUUCGACGGUGAGGGAUGAAAGCUGGGGGAGCAAACCGGAUUAGAUACCCGGGUAGUCCCAGCUGUAAACGAUGCAGACUCGGUGAUGCCCUGGCUUGUGGCCAGUGCAGUGCCGCAGGGAAGCCGUUAAGUUUGCCGCCUGGGAAGUACGUACGCAAGUAUGAAACUUAAAGGAAUUGGCGGGGGAGCACCACAAGGGGUGAAGCCUGCGGUUCAAUUGGAGUCAACGCCAGAAAUCUUACCCGGAGAGACAGCAGAAUGAAGGUCAAGCUGAAGACUUUACCAGACAAGCUGAGAGGUGGUGCAUGGCCGUCGCCAGCUCGUGCCGUGAGAUGUCCUGUUAAGUCAGGUAACGAGCGAGAUCCCUGCCUCUAGUUGCCACCAUUACUCUCAGGAGUAGUGGGGCGAAUUAGCGGGACCGCCACAGUUAAUGUGGAGGAAGGAAGGGGCCACGGCAGGUCAGUAUGCCCCGAAACUCUGGGGCCACACGCGGGCUGCAAUGGUAGUGACAAUGAGUUCCGAAACCGAAAGGUGGAGGUAAUCUUCAAACGCUACCACAGUUAUGAUUGAGGGCUGCAACUCGCCCUCAUGAAUAUGGAAUCCCUAGUAAC